UGGGGGAUAUUGCACAAUGGGCGAAAGCCUGAUGCAGCGACGCCGCGUGGGGGAUGAAGGCCUUCGGGUUGUAAACUUCUUUUGCUCUGAACAAGGCAUGCUAAUGGGUGUGUUGAGUGUAGGGGUUGAUUAGCGCCGGGUAACUACGUGCCAGCAGCCGCGGUAAUACGUAGGGCGCGAGCGUUGUCCGGAAUUAUUGGGCGUAAAGGGCUUGUAGGUGGCUGGUUGCGUCUGUCGUGAAAGCUCAUGGCUUAACUGUGGGUUUGCGGUGGGUACGGGCUGGCUUGAGUGCAGUAGGGGAGGCUGGAAUUCCUGGUGUAGCGGUGGAAUGCGCAGAUAUCAGGAGGAAUACCGGUGGCGAAGGCGGGUCUCUGGGCUGUUACUGACACUGAGGAGCGAAAGCAUGGGGAGCGAACAGG
rnacentral:rRNA from 1 species